GUGUUCUGUAGAGAAAAGUGUGCACAGUCACCUCGGGCCAUGCCUUGAAGGCUCAAAAUCUCUUAGUCAAUCCCAUAUACAUGCUUCCCCACAGAGUCUAGUUCCUCCAGCAAGACCUGGGCUAUACUCACCCCUCCCCACAUAUCUUGGAGGUCCCCUUGGGUCCCCUACUAUCCAAAUGCUGUCUUCUCCCCUCAGCCCCUAUGUCACCACAGUGGGAGGCACAUCCUUCCAGGAACCUUUCCUCAUCACAAAUGAAAUUGUUGACUAUAUCAGUGGUGGUGGCUUCAGCAAUGUGUUCCCACGGCCUUCAUACCAGGAGGAAGCUGUAACGAAGUUCCUGAGCUCUAGCCCCCACCUGCCACCAUCCAGUUACUUCAAUGCCAGUGGCCGUGCCUACCCAGAUGUGGCUGCACUUUCUGAUGGCUACUGG
rnacentral:lncRNA from 1 species